rnacentral:rRNA from 1 species
AUGAACAAAUGGUCUGAUAAGUCAUUUGGAGAUCUACUUAAUAUUCUGCACAUGGCUAUUCCAAAUGGAAAAGCUCUGCCCCAAAAUUUUUAUGAGGCCAAGAAGAUCAUAUCAAAGUUUGGAUUAGGAUAUCAGAAAAUUCAUGUCUACCCAAAUAACUGUCAGUUGUUCUGGAAAGAGACAGAAAAUGAUGAUUUUUGCUCUAAAUGCAAGGCUUCUAGGUGGAAAGAUAAAAUGCCCGAAACCAAGUUAAGUAAAAAGGAAAGAAAGAGAGCUACGCCAAUGAAAGUUCUAAGAUACUUUCCAAUCAAAGAGUGGCUGAAAAGGAUAUUCAUGUGCAAAGAAACAGCAACUCUAGCUCGAUGGCACGAUGAAGGGUGCACCAAACAGCAUGGAGUGAUACGGCAUCCAGCAGAUUCCGAGGCAUGGAAGAAAUUUGAUGAGAAGCAUGGAUUCGCUGAUGAUUGUCGUAAUAUUCGGUUUGCCAUAGCAACAGAUGGAUUUAAUCCAUAUGGGAUGUUGAGCAAUAAAUAUAGUUGUUGGCCAGUUGUGCUAGUCAUGUAUAACCUGCCUCCAAAGCUAUGCAUGAAGAAAUCUUAUCUUUCAUUGGCUUUGAUUAUUCCUGGACCUAAGAGCCCUGGAGAUAAGACUCAUGUUUUUAUGCAACCUCUUUUAGAAGAUCUGAGAGAUCUUUUUGUGAAUGGGAUGACAACCUAUGAUGCAUCCGAACAGAAAACAUUUAAACUCAGAGCGGUUGUCUUGUGGACCAUAAAUGACUUCCCAGCAUUAGGAAUGCUUGCUUCAUAUAUGGUGCAUGGAGAUUAUGCAUGUCCACCUUGUGGUGCAAAUGUAUGGACCAAGUGCUUGAAGUAUGGCAAGAAAGCUUGUUUUAUGGGUCACCGGCGAUUUCUGCCACCUGAUCAUGAAUUUCGUAAUGAUGCUUCUGCUUUUGAUGGAACAACUGAUAAUAGAACAGAGCCUAUAACCUAUUACGGCCGUUCCGUAUUAGAUGACAUAGCUGCAUGUGGAGAUUUUAGUACCUCAAAAACUUACAAAGGAAAAAGUAGUCUAUUCACAUUACCAUAUUGGGACAGUAAUCAACUUCGACAUAAUCUGGAUGUGAUGCAUAUAGAGAAGAAUGUGUGUGAUAAUAUUCUUGGCACACUUCUCAAUUUGGAUGGGAAGUCAAAAGAUAAUGUACAGGCUCGUCAAGAUCUUGAAGAUAUGAAUAUUAGAGGGGAUCUCCACCCACAAAAAAAACCUUCAGGCAAGUAUUACUUGCCAUCAGCUAUCUUUACCAUGUCUAAGAAAGAAAAGCAAUUAUUCUGCAAAGUUAUUCAUGGUAUAAAAGUUCCUGAUGGAUAUUGUGGAAAUAUAUCAAAGUGUGUGAAUUUUACUGAAGGAAAAAUUAGUGGUCUCAAAACACAUGAUUGUCAUGUCCUAUUGCAUCAAUUUCUGCCAAUUGCUGCGAGAGGUAUUCUUCCAGACGAUGUUACAGCAGUGCUAUUUGAACUGUCAUCAUAUUUUCGAGGCAUAAGUUCAAAAGUUCUUCAUGUUGAUGAGCUUGACCGUUUGGAAGAAAGAAUCAAACUUACACUCUGCAAAAUGGAGAUGAUAUUUCCUCCUGGUUUUUUCACUGUUAUGGUGCACUUAGUUGUCCAUUUAGCAAGUGAAUGUAAAAUAGCAGGACCAGUUGCAUAUCGAUGGAUGUGCUUCAUUGAAAGGUAUCUUGGUGAGCUAAAGUCCUUUGUUCGGAACAAAGCUCGUCCAGAGGGUUCAAUUGCAGAAUUUUAUCGUAUGAGUGCAUGA